GUUAAACGAAAUAAUAUUUACAGACUCGGUAUCAAACAUGUCAGAUUAACUCUGUCUUAUAAAUGACAUUUUCGCUGGACUCGUGCUUCGCUGAAAAACGAAAUCGAAAGGAAAGAUUUUUCGGUCAAGGAGAGGAGAAGCUUUCUCGGCGACGUCUGAUUCAUCUCGAUCUCAUGAUCGUCGUCGCCGAAGGGGAAGCUAGCGACUACCGUUCUAUUCCUCAUCGACGACAAGGCAGAAGAAAGAUAAA